CCCACUAUUUCCGGUUUCCCACGCAUGAGAACACUCGCAAUUUACAACUUCCAGGACUCAAAAUUUUCCUCAAAAAUUCCCAAAUUCACUCAAUCUAAAAUUUCUCAAAUCAAAAAUUCAAGAGUACCCUUCGAUCGAAAUCUAUAGGGUUUUGGUUUUCGGCUUCUUCUCCAGAGAUCGUUUUUUGACGGCGAUUUUUACUUCUUCUCAAAACUCAAGUUGUGGCUGAAUUAUCAAUUGUUAUAACCCUAUGUGAAGAUCACUUUCACCAAGAAAGAGUUUAAGCAGCUUUUGUAAGCACUUUUUGGUUUUCGAACUGAAAAAGGAUUGUUGAAGAAAAUUAAAAUGAGCACCAAGUGGAUACAGAUACAAUGUCCUCGGCAAAAGAAUGCCAUGGAUUCUGGAUAUUAUGACACGAGAUACAUGAAAGAGAUUAUCGACCAUAAGCAAACUCGAAUAUUUGAAAAUUACUUUCAUGAUUGCAAUGUUCCGAAUUAUGAUCAAGGACAAAUUGAUGAAGUCAAAGCUCAAUGGACGCGUCAUGUUCUUCUCGUGUGAAUAUUCUGGUGGAUUAAUUAUGUUUUUCGACUGGAAUUUCUCUAGAAUACUUUAAUUUUAGUUUAUUGGUUUGAAAUUAAAAGAAGUAUUAUAUGACAAGGAUACUUCUUUCUGUUUUCUAGUGUGUUUUUAUUCUUCUGUGUAUUUAGGCACAUAUGAUUUUUUAAGUUAUGCAUGAGACAUCGAGAUGCUUAUUUGAUAUGAUAGAAAUGAAGUUGGAUCUUAUA